rnacentral:rRNA from 1 species
UACGUAGGGGGCGAGCGUUAUCCGGAUUUACUGGGUGUAAAGGGAGCGUAGACGGCCAUGCAAGCUCGGUGUGAAAGGUGCGGGCACAACCCGCAGACUGCACUGAGAACUGUAUGGCUGGAGUGCCGGAGGGGCAGGCGGAAUUCCUGGUGUAGCGGUGAAAUGCAUAGAUAUCACGCAGAACUCCGAUCGCGAAGGCAGCCUACCGGCGCGCUACUGACGCUCAUGCACGAAAGCGUGGGUAUCGAACAGG